rnacentral:rRNA from 1 species
GGUGAACCUGCGGAAGGAUCAUUACCGAGUGCGGGCCCUCUGGGUCUUACCUCCCAUCCGUGUCUAUCUGUACCCUGUUGCUUCGGCGUGGCCACGGCCCGCCGGAGACUAACAUUUGAACGCUGUCUGAAGUUUGCAGUCUGAGUUUUUAGUUAAACAAUCGUUAAAACUUUCAACAACGGAUCUCUUGGUUCCGGCAUCGAUGAAGAACGCAGCGAAAUGCGAUAAUUAAUGUGAAUUGCAGAAUUCAGUGAAUCAUCGAGUCUUUGAACGCACAUUGCGCCCCCUGGUAUUCCGGGGGGCAUGCCUGUCCGAGCGUCAUUGCUGCCCUCAAGCACGGCUUGUGUGUUGGGCUUCCGUCCCUGGCAACGGGGACGGGCCCAAAAGGCAGUGGCGGCACCAUGUCUGGUCCUCGAGCGUAUGGGGCUUUGUCACCCGCUCCCGUAGGUCCAGCUGGCAGCUAGCCUCGCAACCAAUCUUUUUAACCAGGUUGACCUCGGAUCAGGUAGGGAUACCCGCUGAACUUAAGCAUAUCAA